GUGGCUCUGGUCUGUGCCCCCACCGGAGUAGGUGUCCCGUUCGUCCCUAUUAAUUAUUUCCCUUUUUCUUUUUCUUUCUCUUUCUACCUGCACUCUCCCGGAAGAAGAAAGGCAAUUUCUUUUUUUCCUUCGAUUUUCUGUAACAGUGGGUUUUGUUACUGUCUGAUAGAUUUUUUUUUUCGUUCACCUGAAUGUUUUUGGUGUGGGAAAGUGCAAGAAAAUGGUAUAUUGAGAGAUGUAAAACAGAAAAGAGAAGAGAAAACGCGUAAACAGUAAAACCUAUAUACUAUGCGAACAGAGAGAGCAGAAGAAAGGCACCAGCCAGAACAUAAUCUACGCCGCGUUAG
rnacentral:misc_RNA from 1 species